rnacentral:rRNA from 1 species
UGCAGUCGAACGGUAGCACAGAGAGCUUGCUCUCGGGUGACGAGUGGCGGACGGGUGAGUAAUGUCUGGGAAACUGCCUGAUGGAGGGGGAUAACUACUGGAAACGGUAGCUAAUACCGCAUAACGUCGCAAGACCAAAGAGGGGGACCUUCGGGCCUCUUGCCAUCAGAUGUGCCCAGAUGGGAUUAGCUAGUAGGUGGGGUAACGGCUCACCUAGGCGACGAUCCCUAGCUGGUCUGAGAGGAUGACCAGCCACACUGGAACUGAGACACGGUCCAGACUCCUACGGGAGGCAGCAGUGGGGAAUAUUGCACAAUGGGCGCAAGCCUGAUGCAGCCAUGCCGCGUGUAUGAAGAAGGCCUUCGGGUUGUAAAGUACUUUCAGCGGGGAGGAAGGUGUUGUGGUUAAUAACCACAGCAAUUGACGUUACCCGCAGAAGAAGCACCGGCUAACUCCGUGCCAGCAGCCGCGGUAAUACGGAGGGUGCAAGCGUUAAUCGGAAUUACUGGGCGUAAAGCGCACGCAGGCGGUCUGUCAAGUCGGAUGUGAAAUCCCCGGGCUCAACCUGGGAACUGCAUUCGAAACUGGCAGGCUAGAGUCUUGUAGAGGGGGGUAGAAUUCCAGGUGUAGCGGUGAAAUGCGUAGAGAUCUGGAGGAAUACCGGUGGCGAAGGCGGCCCCCUGGACAAAGACUGACGCUCAGGUGCGAAAGCGUGGGGAGCAAACAGGAUUAGU